GAUGAACGCUAGCUACAGGCUUAACACAUGCAAGUCGAGGGGAAACGACAUCGAAAGCUUGCUUUCGAUGGGCGUCGACCGGCGCACGGGUGAGUAACGCGUAUCCAACCUGCCCACCACUUGGGGAUAACCUUGCGAAAGUAAGACUAAUACCCAAUGAUAUCUCUAGAAGACAUCUGAAAGAGAUUAAAGAUUUAUCGGUGAUGGAUGGGGAUGCGUCUGAUUAGCUUGUUGGCGGGGUAACGGCCCACCAAGGCUACGAUCAGUAGGGGUUCUGAGAGGAAGGUCCCCAACAUUGGAACUGAGACACGGUCCAAACUCCUACGGGAGGCAGCAGUGAGGAAUAUUGGUCAAUGGACGAGAGUCUGAACCAGCCAAGUAGCGUGCAGGAUGACAGCCCUAUGGGUUGUAAACUGCUUUUAUAAGGGAAUAAAGUGAGUCUCGUGAGACUUUUUGCAUGUACCUUAUGAAUAAGGACCGGCCAAUUCCGUGCCAGCCGCCGCCGUAA
rnacentral:rRNA from 1 species